UCCGGGGUAGCUCAGUUGGCAGAGCGACGGACUGUUAAUCCGUUGGCCGUGGGUUCGAGCCCCACCCCCGGAGCCA
rnacentral:tRNA from 2 species